rnacentral:rRNA from 1 species
UACGAAGGGGGCUAGCGUUGUUCGGAAUUACUGGGCGUAAAGCGCGUGUAGGCGGGUCUUUAAGUCAGGGGUGAAAUGCCAGGGCUCAACCUUGGAACUGCCUUUGAUACUGGGGAUCUUGAGUCCGGGAGAGGUGAGUGGAACUGCGAGUGUAGAGGUGAAAUUCGUAGAUAUUCGCAAGAACACCAGUGGCGAAGGCGGCUCACUGGCCCGGUACUGACGCUGAGGUGCGAAAGCGUGGGGAUCAAACAGG